rnacentral:misc_RNA from 1 species
GAAAUGCGAUAAGUAGUGUGAAUUGCAGAAUUCAGUGAAUCAUCGAAUCUUUGAACGCACAUUGCGCUUCCGGGUAUUCCUGGAAGCAUGCCUGUUUGAGUAUCGGAACCAUCUCUACAUGCACUUUCGAGUGUUUAUGUGGGAUCUGAGAUUUCCCAGGCGGAAGGGCAACCUCUGUAACUGGGUAUCUUAAAAUAAAUGGUUUGGCUGGGACUCUAAGAUCCAUAGACCGACAAGCGCGACAAGAACUAAAAGGGUCCUUGGACCUGGCUGUUUCAAUCCGCUAAUGCGACCUCUGGAAUUAAGCUUAGGGCUCAUCGCCUUCUCAACUUUUACGUGAUUAAGUCUCAACAACCUAAUCCAAACUUGAUCUCAAAUCAGGCAAGACUACCCGCUGAAC